rnacentral:rRNA from 1 species
AUUGAACGCUGGCGGCAGGCUUAACACACGCAAGUCGAGCGGAGAUGAGGUGCUUGCACCUUAUCUUAGCGGCGGACGGGUGAGUAAUGCUUAGGAAUCUGCCUAUUAGUGGGGGACAACAUUCCGAAAGGAAUGCUAUUACCGCAUACGCCCUACGGGAGAAAGCAGGGGAUCUUCGGACCUUGCGCUAAUAGAUGAGCCUAAGUCGGAUUAGCUAGUUGGUGGGGUAAAGGCCUACCAAGGCGACGAUCUGUAGCGGGUCUGAGAGGAUGAUCCGCCACACUGGGACUGAGACACGGCCCAGACUCCUACGGGAGGCAGCAGUGGGGAAUAUUGGACAAUGGGGGGAACCCUGAUCCAGCCAUGCCGCGUGUGUGAAGAAGGCCUUAUGGUUGUAAAGCACUUUAAGCGAGGAGGAGGCUACUGAGACUAAUACUCUUGGAUAGUGGACGCUACUCGCAGAAUAAGCACCGGCUAACUCUGUGCCAGCCGCCGCCGUAAGAC